UGUAUAUUUUUGGCUUCUUUGUCAAAAAUCAAGUGUUCACAGGACUGGAAUAAAAUUCAAUGAAUGGAGAUCGAUUAACCUGGGUGUGGAUAAAACAGGCACAAUUGAAGAAGCCCAGGGGUCUUAAUGUAAAUCUACCGAUAGCCGGGUAUGAAGAAGAGGGGAAGAGCAGAGGCAGACACACAAGGAAGGAUGCUGUGCAGCUGACUGGAGAGAUGGAAGCUGAGGUGGACAAGGCGGAGGCUUCUCAGCAAAUCAUCAGAUGCAGGAAGAAGCAAAAAUGGUACCUCCCUUCCUGGAAGGUCCAGAAGGCUGUAUCCCUCCCCACAUCUCCCUUUUGGACUUCUGGACUUCCAAAACUGGGAGAAAGGGGGUUUCUGAUUUCUUUGUGUAUGUGG